rnacentral:rRNA from 1 species
GAUGAACGCUGGCGGCGUGCCUAAUACAUGCAAGUCGAGCGAACGGACGAGAAGCUUGCUUCUCUGAUGUUAGCGGCGGACGGGUGAGUAACACGUGGAUAACCUACCUAUAAGACUGGGAUAACUUCGGGAAACCGGAGCUAAUACCGGAUAAUAUUUUGAACCGCAUGGUUCAAAAGUGAAAGACGGUCUUGCUGUCACUUAUAGAUGGAUCCGCGCUGCAUUAGCUAGUUGGUAAGGUAACGGCUUACCAAGGCAACGAUGCAUAGCCGACCUGAGAGGGUGAUCGGCCACACUGGAACUGAGACACGGUCCAGACUCCUACGGGAGGCAGCAGUAGGGAAUCUUCCGCAAUGGGCGAAAGCCUGACGGAGCAACGCCGCGUGAGUGAUGAAGGUCUUCGGAUCGUAAAACUCUGUUAUUAGGGAAGAACAUAUGUGUAAGUAACUGUGCACAUCUUGACGGUACCUAAUCAGAAAGCCACGGCUAACUACGUGCCAGCAGCCGCGGUAAUACGUAGGUGGCAAGCGUUAUCCGGAAUUAUUGGGCGUAAAGCGCGCGUAGGCGGUUUUUUAAGUCUGAUGUGAAAGCCCACGGCUCAACCGUGGAGGGUCAUUGGAAACUGGAAAACUUGAGUGCAGAAGAGGAAAGUGGAAUUCCAUGUGUAGCGGUGAAAUGCGCAGAGAUAUGGAGGAACACCAGUGGCGAAGGCGACUUUCUGGUCUGUAACUGACGCUGAUGUGCGAAAGCGUGGGGAUCAAACAGGAUUAGAUACCCUGGUAGUCCACGCCGUAAACGAUGAGUGCUAAGUGUUAGGGGGUUUCCGCCCCUUAGUGCUGCAGCUAACGCAUUAAGCACUCCGCCUGGGGAGUACGACCGCAAGGUUGAAACUCAAAGGAAUUGACGGGGACCCGCACAAGCGGUGGAGCAUGUGGUUUAAUUCGAAGCAACGCGAAGAACCUUACCAAAUCUUGACAUCCUUUGACAACUCUAGAGAUAGAGCCUUCCCCUUCGGGGGACAAAGUGACAGGUGGUGCAUGGUUGUCGUCAGCUCGUGUCGUGAGAUGUUGGGUUAAGUCCCGCAACGAGCGCAACCCUUAAGCUUAGUUGCCAUCAUUAAGUUGGGCACUCUAAGUUGACUGCCGGUGACAAACCGGAGGAAGGUGGGGAUGACGUCAAAUCAUCAUGCCCCUUAUGGUUUGGGCUACACAUGUGCUACAAUGGACAAUACAAAGGGCAGCGAAACCGCGAGGUCAAGCAAAUCCCAUAAAGUUGUUCUCAGUUCGGAUUGUAGUCUGCAACUCGACUACAUGAAGCUGGAAUCGCUAGUAAUCGUAGAUCAGCAUGCUACGGUGAAUACGUUCCCGGGUCU